rnacentral:misc_RNA from 1 species
GAAAGACUUGAUUGAUUACAGCCGUGAAACAGGGACUGGGCCUAUGGGUAAGCUUGAUGAGUUUUUCUUGUGAUUUGACCUUUCAUUCUUUAAAUUUGGCAAAUCUCUAGGUGUAAUUAGCACAGUGAUUCGGGAAAACGUCUGUUACACUUUUUGCUGUAUCACUGCUUUAGUUCAUUAGUACACCAUACAAAUAUAAUGGGAGUGUAUUGCUGGUAAGUAUUCAAGUAUUUGAUCUUCCUUUUGCUUAGAUAAUAUAGUUCUUGAACUUCUUUUUGGACUGUUAAAAUUAGCAUUCUCUAUGUUGUAUUGCUAUACAUUCAAUAUACAGUGUCGUAUUGUCUAACCAUAUUGUUGUUCUAACUACUGUUAUUUUUGGACCAAAAUAAGAUUGAUGGCUGAAUAAAGAUAGAGCCUUCAACUGCCUAAAUAAAGUUUAUACUCAACUUGGUAGUGAGAGAAUUCUCACAACUUUUCCAUGUGCCUUGACCAGAUUUCUGUGCUGAUGUUGAUUGUAUGGGGGGUGAUUAAUCUGUUCAUGUGCAUAAUCAUGUGAUUGUAUAAUGGUGCUUCUCAUGUUGCAUGGCUGCCUAUCUUGUGAUAUUUCUUUUUGUUGUAUAUCAUUAUAGCGUCUUUGUGGGGGAACAGUGUCUUUAUCUUUUGAGUGCACACUGAUGUGGAAAAUAUUGAAAAACACAGGAGAAAAUGAAAUUGAUCUCAGAAGAGCUAAAAAAAAUAAAUAUAGAGUUUUUUUUU